rfam:Trichobilharzia regenti genome assembly, scaffold: TRE_scaffold0040071
GUACUGAUGAAGAGUCCCAAAUUAGGACGAAACAGCUGGCUGUCCAGUAC